CGAAAGAGUUGUAGUGAGUGAAAAUAAAUAUUAAAACACACGGAAAUGUAUUUUCCUGGCUGCAGCACCUGCCAUCUUGCCUCGGUAGGACUCAUUUUCAAAAACAGCAGCUUCUUGAAGCCCCAGAACGCAUUCCUGUGCUACGGAAGACGGAAGAGUAGCUCUCGGGGUCAGAAGGCGAAGGUCAGAAGGCCGAAUUGGCGGGAGAAUAGGUUUGGUGGUCCGAGAUCCGAGGCAACGGUGGCUCCUCGAGGUCCACGGUCCCGGAAUCAUGAUGCUGCUCUGAAGUGUGGGAGAUCAUGAACAUGACAAAAAUCCACAUCCUCAAAGAGCUUGCUACUUAGUGAG
rnacentral:lncRNA from 10 species